UACGGGGGGGGCAAGCGUUGUUCGGAAUUACUGGGCGUAAAGGGCUCGUAGGCGGCCAACUAAGUCGGAUGUGAAAUCCCCAGGCUUAACCUGGGAACUGCAUCCGAUACUGGAUGGCUUGAAUCCGGGAGAGGGAUGCAGAAUUCCAGGUGUAGCGGUGAAAUGCGUAGAUAUCAGGAGGAACACCGGUGGCGAAGGCGGAUCUCUGGGCCGUAACUGACGCUGAGGAGCGAAAGCAUGGGGAGCGAACAGG
rnacentral:rRNA from 1 species